rnacentral:rRNA from 1 species
UACAGAGGUCCCAAGCGUUGUUCGGAUUCACUGGGCGUAAAGGGUGCGUAGGCGGUCGGGUAAGUCUGAUGUGAAAUCUCACAGCUUAACUGUGAAACUGCAUUGGAUACUAUCCGGCUCGAGGAAUGGAGGGGAGACUGGAAUACUUGGUGUAGCAGUGAAAUGCGUAGAUAUCAGGAGGAACACCGGUGGCGAAGGCGGGACUCUGGGCCGAUACUGACGCUGAGGAGCGAAAGCGUGGGGAGCAAACAGG